GGAAUCACUGAGAGACACCACCCAUAACCGCUAGUUGGUUAGGCGCAGAGAAACCGUUCAUAACCACUGGGAUGAGCCACUGUUCUCCCUUAAAAACCCUCAAAUUUCUUGGACUUCCCCUUCAAUUCAUCAAAGGUCCGGUCUGGCAAAGUCACCUCGCAAGGCGUGAAGCAAUCUUGGAGAGAAAAGUGCAAGGCAGUUCCCUUCUUCUCUCGAUUUUGGCAAGCUGCUGGGUAAAAUGUAAUCGAGGGCAGUGGUAAGCGUCGUUCCUUUAUUUCUUUUCUUGUUUCUUCAUCUCAUCACUAUAUACAUUUAUGCAUAUGCAUGCACACAUGCAUAUAUGCACAUAUGAGAGUAUUCACACCUAUAUAUUAUGACAAUCCUUCACGAACAGAGUAUUUUUCUCAAUCCUUUGUGCUGCAUGUUCAUUUAAUUUCUUGUACCCUGACUUGAAUUUCAGAUAUGAACCACUGAUUAGGGAUUAUAAGCAACCCCCCCAAGUGACAAUUUGUCCUGGUUGAACACAAGACCUUUAGAUGGUGUCAAAGUACGGUAGAAAAAGCAUAAGCAUGCACUGUGUCGAAUAUCCCUGCUUUUAUCCAGGAGUAGUCAAUCCAUGGUCCCCUUAAAUGAUUUACUCCUGUAAUUUGGGCUUCCUUUCGUACUUGCAUCAAAUAGCCAUUUCCUCUCGUAGGAUGAAAUCGUAUGAUGGUGUUGAUUUGGUCCUUCUGCUAGUAUGGCCUUGGCACGAAGUUAUAGAGAUGUGAGUGUGUUCAGUUGUCGUGAAGGUGCCGGAACUUAUGUGUUUUGUUCUUUCCUCCUCUCUACUUUUUUUUGUAGGUAUCUGUGACCUUGUGGGUUUUAUCAUGGCAUCCACUGAUCUCCCAUCGAUCAUGAUAGAAAUUCAUGGACAAGCAUGGGGAUUUUAUGGACAUGACUGGCAUUACAUCUUCCUUUUCACGGUGCGCUGCUUUCCGGACCCUUGGCCUAGUGCUCCAUGGAAUGGAUACCAGGCAUUUGUUGGAUAUCACAGAUCAUUGACUCCUUUGCUAGCGGGAUGCAAUUUGUGAAGCCAUGACCUUGGGUUUUUGGGCAGAGUUUCUUUUGAACUUGGUGAAAGAUUUAGCACGUGCUGUAUUCGGGGCACGGGCUAUUCACAACAUGGAGUCAUUUUCUGGUCCUGAUGAAAUAAGAGCAGUAGCGAAUGCUUUGAAUCUCAAGCAGCGUGAGUUGGAAAAUCAGCAUAGGGAACUACGUGCCCUCCUUCUUGCCCAAGGUGUUUCUUCUAAUAGUGCUAACUGUGUGGCAGAAGCAGUGACAAGAUCCUCUCACAAGGCUUCUUCCAUUAUUUUCUAGCUAUCCUUGACGGCUUUGAGGUUCUUGGCUCUUCGUACCCUUCUCAUCUUAACUUUGUCUGGUACCAACCUGCCUUCUUCUGACACUCCCUUUACGCCAUCUCACAGGUUGCAUUUUUCUUGGUGUGAGACAGACUGGCUUGACACAUUUUAGGAUCCCUUCCAAGACUGAAGCACACAUUAAUUCUUGGCUUGUAUAACUUAAUCUUACUUAGGCUGUAUUUUCUUUUUGGGGUAUCUCAAAACUAGUACUGCGGCACUGUAGUGUUGUUGUGUUUAAGCUGCUGGAACUUAUGUCCCUUUUCUUUUUGCUAAAGACACAUUGUAACUUCUGUUUAGUAUAUAUAUAUAUAUAUAUAUAUAUAUAUAUAUAUAUGCUGCUUGGUUGUUGGAAUUCUUUGCUUGAGGUCCUCUUAUAGGUUGGGCACCCUUUUAGAACAAGGUAGAUGCUGCCAAAAUUUUGGUAGGCUUCUUAUUCAAAACUUCUCAGUACCAAUUUUCUUUAUCGAAG
rnacentral:lncRNA from 1 species